UCACUCUAGCGAGACUGCCGGUGACAAACCGGAGGAAGGUGGGGAUGACGUCAAAUCAUCAUGCCCCUUAUGACCUGGGCUACACACGUGCUACAAUGGGAAGUACAACGAGUCGCUAGACCGCGAGGUCAUGCAAAUCUCUUAAAGCUUCUCUCAGUUCGGAUUGCAGGCUGCAACUCGCCUGCAUGAAGCCGGAAUCGCUAGUAAUCGCGGAUCAGCACGCCGCGGUGAAUACGUUCCCGGGCCUUGUACACACCGCCCGUCACACCACGAGAGUUUGUAACACCCGAAGUCGGUGAGGUAACCUUUUUGGAGCCAGCCGCCUAAGGUGGGAUAGAUGAUUGGGGUGAAGUCGUAACAAGGUAACCGUAA
rnacentral:rRNA from 1 species